GGGUGAAUUUGGGACUGGGGAUCUGAAAGUUUCAAUCAUAUAUUCAAGAGGCCAAAGAAACUAAAUCAAAGGCAUGCAGGAAGCCAAACAAAGUUAAACCAUUAAAAUGGGUCCCAAGCACCAAUAUCAACCUUUGAGAAGAAACAUCAUGGUUGUACAAUGCAAAUACCCUUACACGAGGCCUUGCUUCUCUUUAUUCUACUUUGUCUUUGGUCACAAUAUAGUCUACGUUUAAAAAGAACUGAAGAAGAAGGCACAAGAUCUCAAACCAUUUUUUAAAAAAAUAUGUAAAACCUUCAUCAUUUAGGAUCUCCCUUUUAUUGUAUAUGUACAUGGUAACUCCUUGCCAUUUGCAUGGACACUAUAGGGUAGGAAACACAUAUAGAGCUGGAGGAAGAAAAACAGGCACUUGAAGGGGAGGGAAUUAAAAUUGUAAUUGCCAUUAGGGGGUGCUUAAAGUCACAGGCAAGAGAUGGGACAGGGAAGCCAGGCUGGUACAUACGCAGUCUUGCUUGGUUUGGGCAAAGGUUGUCCAAGCACAGCCUUUAUAGUCAGCCUCAUGCACUCCGAAGCUGUCUGGCAGGGCCUCAGCAUGGAGGUCUCCAAGAUAAGGCAGAUGGAAAAGACCAGGGAUGAACAAGGCAGGAAAUGGGUUUAUUAAGAAGCGUUUCUGUGGGUAAGGCCAUCACUGUCACCUUGAUGUCCCUGCAGCUGUGGUUGUGCGUCCAAGGCAUUGCUUCACCUGGCCACACACCAAGCUUCAUAUAUUCUCCAAAUGGAGCAGCACCUAUAGAAACGCAGUGGAUCCUCCUGGGAUCGAUGGCCUCUCCUGCCUUCAACUGGGCUUGAAGCACCGAAGCAUCUGGGACCUCCAACAGCUGUUCACCUCGCAGCAUCAGACUCGCGAGACCACGUCACCAAACUGUUCGAACCCCAGUCUGAUCUUCAUGGCUCACGCCUGUCCCUCUGCUCCGCAAAAAAGAAAAGAAAGAAAAAAAAAAAAAUCGCCCAGCUUUGCUUUUAUUUUAUUAUUCCCACUACAAGAGGCUGCAGUGUGUGAGCAACAUGCUUUCCUCGCUUGGUCAAACCAUCCACACUUCCAGGACUGAGACUCGAAGACAUAGGAAAAAAUUCCACUGCCGCCUCCAUGGAAACAGGAAAACACUUGGCCCUUUAGAGAGCAGGAUAAUAACAAUAAUAAUUAAAAAAAAAA